UACGAAGGGUGCAAACGUUGCUCGGAAUCAUUGGGCGUAAAGCGUAUGUAGGCGGGUUUUUAAGUCAGGUGUGAAAUCCCCGGGCUUAACCUGGGAAUGGCCAUGGAAACUGGCGAACUGGAGUGCGGCAGAGGGGGGUGGAAUUCCGCGUGUAGCAGUGAAAUGCGUAGAGAUGCGGAGGAACACCGAUGGCGAAGGCAGCCCCCUGGGCUAGCACUGACGCUCAGGCACGAAAGCGUGGGGAGCAAACAGG
rnacentral:rRNA from 1 species